GGGGAAUUUUCCGCAAUGGGCGAAAGCCUGACGGAGCAACGCCGCGUGAGGGAUGAAGGCCUCUGGGCUGUAAACCUCUUUUCUCAAGGAAGAAGAUCUGACGGUACUUGAGGAAUAAGCCACGGCUAAUUCCGUGCCAGCAGCCGCGGUAAUACGGGAGUGGCAAGCGUUAUCCGGAAUUAUUGGGCGUAAAGCGUCCGCAGGCGGCCUUUCAAGUCUGCUGUUAAAACGUGGAGCUUAACUCCAUCAUGGCAGUGGAAACUGUUGGGCCUGAGUGUGGUAGGGGCAGAGGGAAUUCCCGGUGUAGCGGUGAAAUGCGUAGAUAUCGGGAAGAACACCAGUGGCGAAGGCGCUCUGCUGGGCCAUAACUGACGCUCAUGGACGAAAGCCAGGGGAGCGAAAGGGAUUAGAUACCCCUGUAGUC
rnacentral:rRNA from 1 species